AUUGAACGCUGGCGGCAGGCCUAACACAUGCAAGUCGAGCGAGCGGCGGACGGGUGAGUAAUGUCUGGGGACUGCCCGAUAGAGGGGGAUAACUACUGGAAACGGUGGCUAAUACCGCAUACUAUCGGAUAACCCAUAUGGGAGUAGCUAGUAGGUGGGGUAAAGGCUCACCUAGGCGACGAUCGCUAGCUGGUCUGAGAGGAUGACCAGCCACACUGGGACUUAGACACGGUCCCGACUCCUACGGAGGCAGCAGUGGGGAAUAGUGCACAAUGGGGGGAAGCCUGAUUCAGCCAUGCCGCGGGUAUGAAGAAGGCCUUAGGGUUGUAAAGUACUUUCAGCGGGGAGGCGUUACCCGCAGAAGAAGCACCGGCUAACUCCGUGCCAGCCGCCGCGGUAAUAC
rnacentral:rRNA from 1 species